rnacentral:sRNA from 1 species
GGCACCGCAAACAAACCCAAUUCCUGGUGUCCCCUAGUCUUGGCGGAGGAGCCUUUUAGAUGAGCCCCGAAAGGCCGGGCAGGGAGGACAAGCUCUUUGGGGCUACCAAACAGAAGCAGCAAUGCCUGUUGUGUGGCCAACCCUUUUGGAUCUCAGCAGGGAUGAAUGCAAAAGGAUUCUUCGAAAAUUGGAAUUGGAGGCAUAUGCUGGAGUUAUCAGUGCACUUCGGGCACAGGGGGAUCUCACCAAGGAAAAGAAAGAUCUUCUUGGAGAACUAUCAAAAGUUCUUAGCAUCUCAACAGAACGCCACCGUGCUGAAGUUCGGAGAGCAGUAAACGAUGAACGGUUAACAACAAUUGCACAUAAUAUGUCUGGACCUAAUAGCUCUUCAGAAUGGUCCAUUGAAGGUCGUCGAUUGGUACCACUGAUGCCCCGGCUCGUUCCCCAAACCGCCUUUACUGUAACAGCUAAUGCUGUUGCUAAUGCAGCUAUCCAGCAUAAUGCAUCUCUUCCAGUGCCUGCAGAAACAGGAAGCAAGGAAGGUGAGUAGAAAAAUAUGCCUGUGUUAGAGAUUACUUUUCUUAGAAUCUUCAAGAAAAUUUUCAGAAAAGUUGUCUUAUUUUUCAUCUACUUUUAUUCUAGUGUUUAAAGGUUAUGAAACAUAGUAGGAAACUCUAAUUCUGAAAUUAGACUGCCAGGUUUUUAGUCUUAGACAAAAUUUAGGUCUCCCUUUUGUCGAAGGUGUGAAUUAUGUUAAUCAUCAAAAUUGCAAAAACCUCGGAAUGGAUUUUUGAUAUCAGUGUGUCUUGUUAAAAAUGAAUAGAAGGCCUUAAUGGAUGACAUUAGAAAAUAAAUAAAGUAACAGAAGUCAUUUAGCUACUAAAAAAUGAUUCUGAACUGAUAGCUUUAGAAAAUAAAGCUGUUUUCAUUUUCUGGAAUCAGUGAUAUAUGCUACUUCUUUGUUCUGGUUAAUGAAUGUGCUGAAUCCAUUCCCUGGCAGAAGGGUUUUAUCAUUAUUUAUCUAGUAAUUGACACAUGCUUUAAAAAUCCUCCAAUUCUCUAGAGGCCACCAAGAGUAAUAUUAAAUUUGAGAGAGCAUAUUUGGAUUGACUCAAGUAGUUUAGUUUGAUGUUGCAUGACAAUGACCCUAAAAACAAUGCAUUUGUCAGGUUACUCUGGGGAAUUGUCUUUGCUUACCUAGCAAUGGCCAUGAAACAGAGUAAGACACUCUUUUUAUGCAUGACAGGCUCUGUUUUAGGGUGAGAAAAGGUAUAUUUGGAGGAAGACAGUGUAUAAACUUGGCCUCCAUCGAGUUCUUUCAUCUACUGACUCUCAGGUAGAGUGAAAAGAAUACAGAGUUUCCACUAGUCAAAUCCAUGUUUGAAUCUUAAUUUGUCAUUUCCUAGCUGUAUGACCUCCAGCAAGUUUGAGCUUCUGUGAGCCUUGGGUUCCUCAUCUUUAAAAUGAGAAUGCGAUAUUGUGAGAAUUAGUGAAGAUGUAUGGAAAGGAUUUAGUGUGUGGUACUUAAUAAAUGAUGCCUGUAACUUAUUCUUACUGUUGUUUAGCUGUAUCCCUUCGUUGAAUGAUAGGUUGAAAUAUGAUGUUGUCAUUAUUUUAGUUGAGUUGUUGUGCUGCUUGGAUGGCAAUGACUAGUGAGUUGAUUUAUAGAAAAGAACGUUACCUUGAUUGUUUCCUAGUGGCCACGUUGGAAAUUGCUAAGGUUAGGGAAAAAUUAUCCACCCAUAUCAUUGGUGCUGCUAUUAGUAUUAAAAGGGAAUACAAGUAAGUGCCUGUUGUCCCACUCCUGCCAUGAGUGAAAAUUAUUUUCAUUUUUUCUCAGUAUAAUUUUAAACUUUAUUUCUUUGUAACUGUGUUUUUCUCCAUCAGCAAUGUCACCUGUAGACAAGCUGUUAAAUACUUGGGAAAAAUCUAUUUAAGUGAUAAUUUUCAGGAAAGGUUAUUAAUGCCUUUUAAUCUGUGGACCUAAUACCUAGUACUGGCCUCUGACUUCUGAUCACAUGAAAAUGUUAAAAUUGGCCUGCAAUAAAAAUAAUUUUUUUGUAUGCCUGGACAGUUUUGGUGAAAGUUAACAGCAAACUUUUUUAUCGUUCCUUCAGUAGUGGUUUGCUAUUCCUACACAAGUACCACGUCAACCCCAACCUCUACCCCUGUUCCAAGUGGCAGCAUAGCAACGGUUAAGUCUCCAAGACCUGCCAGUCCUGCCUCCAAUGUAGUUGUCUUGCCAAGUGGAAGUACUGUUUAUGUCAAAAGUAAGUGAUAUUCUCAGUGUUAUCAGGGCCUUCUUGGCUGAAUGCUGCAGUCUAGGCUCUGAUUAGACCUGCCUUCCUGGAUUAAAUCGUUGGUCCACUAGCUGUUAGUAGGUUAGUUUUUGAAGAUUUUAAAGAAUUCCUUCCUUUACAUGUGACUAGGUAUAUAUUGCUUUUUUAAUCAGUUCUGGGGUUUCAGAAGUGACUUCAUUUUCAUUGUCUGUGGGUAAUCUGCCUUUGAACUGUGCUAUCCUUAAGAAUUCACUUUUUUGAUUAUCAUGAAAUAGAAAUGUUGUGAAUAGAAACUGAAGGAAUGUGCUUAUGUAAUUUAUUCAAUAUUUCUCCUAUAAUUUAAAUCUUUGUAGUAUUUUCUUAGAUUAUUUUAUAUAAUGUAUUAUCCAGCUGUUAUAGUCAGUGAAACAUUCUAGAGAGCCUAUCUUUAUUUCUAAUUGACUGUAAUUUUUGAAGUUUCUUUUGUUUGUAGUUUUUAAUUCCUUGAUUCUACCCUAUGAAGCAGUUUGGUGUCCUGUUCAUUUUUUUUUCAUUUUUUUGUUUUUAAUUUGUGUUAAGACAGUGUUGCUUUAUAUAUAUAUUUUGUAAUUUAUAAAGAAAAGGGGCCGGGCACGGUGGCUCAUGCCUGUAAUCCUAGCACUUUGGGAGGCCGAGGCGGGCAAAUCACCUGAGGUCAGGAGUUCAAGACCAGCCUGGCCAACCUGACGAAACCUCGUCUCUACUAAAAAUACAACAACAACAAAAAAUUAGCUGGGCGUGGUGACACAUGCCUGUAGUCCCAGCUACUCGGGAGGCUGAGACAGGAAAAUUGCUUGAACCCGGGAGGCAGAGGUUGCAGUGAGCCGAGAUUGUGCCACUGCACUCCACCCUGGGCGACAGAGCAAGACUCUGUCUCAAAAAAAAAAGAAAAAAAAAAGAAAA